AACGCGAAGAACCUUACCUGGGCUCGAAAUGCUAUGGACCAGCUUAUGAAAGUAGGCCUUCCCGCAAGGGACCGUAGUAUAGGUGCUGCAUGGCUGUCGUCAGCUCGUGUCGUGAGAUGUUGGGUUAAGUCCCGCAACGAGCGCAACCCUUGUCCUGUGUUGCCAUACCGAAAGGUGGAACUCGCAGGAGACCGCCAGGGAUAACCUGGAGGAAGGUGGGGAUGACGUCAAGUCCUCAUGGCCUUUAUGUCCAGGGCUACACACGUGCUACAAUGGACGGUACAAAGGGCUGCCAACCCGCGAGGGGGAGCCAAUCCCAAAAAACCGUUCUCAGUUCGGAUUGCAGGCUGCAACUCGCCUGCAUGAAGCUGGAAUCGCUAGUAAUGGCGGAUCAGAACGCCGCCGUGAAUACGUUCCCGGGCCUUGUACACACCGCUAGUC
rnacentral:rRNA from 1 species